AUAGAUACAGGAGUGAUAACUUGAUUGGCAUUAGAAGCCGGUUGAUAAACGUUUGCAGAAGGAGGUUGGAAAGUUGGUUGAGUCAUCGGAAGCCAUACGGCCAGCGUUGGAGAUAAUGGUACAGCGGUAUGAUUGUUAAUGGAACUUGGGGUGACGGAAUAAUUUACACUUUUAUGUUGAGACGAUUGCGAGGAAGGAGCGAUAGCAGUAGCCGGAGCUAGCUGAGGAGGGUUAGAAGGACAAUACGUUGCAGGACAUAGUGGGGGAGGAUAAGAGGUUGGAGACGAGUAAGGAUGAUUAUGGAUGGGAUGUGGAAGCCUGUUCGGAUGGACUUGGAGCUUUGGUAAAUUAGGGAUCACUGGAGGUUUAGAAAUUGGUUGGUGAGGUAAAUUAGGAGAGGGAAGCGAAACCGGGUACCAGUGUGAAGGAACUUGAGGGACAGGAGGCGGCCGUAAAACAGGUUGACAUGAAACAGGUAGUGGAUUAUGAAGGGGAGGAUGAUGUGAAUGGGGAAAUGGCGAUUGAUUAUUUGAACACGCAUGAUACGAUGUAGGAGACUGAACCAUAUAUGAAGGAUGGCUGGCGACAUCAUGCGGUAAUGGAACGACGCCAUUAGCAUCCAACCAUGGAUCAUAGGAUUGAGGAAGAGAUACCGAGUUAGUUGAUGGAUAAACAGCAUUCGCACCAUUGAUAGGGACUGCCACAGUGCCAGUGGUAGAGGGUGAUGAUGAUGAGGGAGGUUGCGGAGGUACGAAGGAUUGUAAUUGAUGAACAGAAAAAGGAGGCGGUAAAUUAGGGGUA